UGGCGAUUUGCAUAGCGUGCCACUGCGCGAUGUGAAAAGCGAGAUCCAAAUCAGACGGCUACACAUGUAGAACUGUUCGAAGAAGGUUUGCGGACGGGGGUUCAAAUCCCCCCAGCUCCACCA
rnacentral:tmRNA from 1 species